rnacentral:rRNA from 1 species
GGUAAUACGGAGGAUCCAAGCGUUAUCCGGAUUUAUUGGGUUUAAAGGGUGCGUAGGCGGUCUUUUAAGUCAGGGGUGAAAUACGGCAGCUCAACUGUCGCAGUGCCCUUGAUACUGAAGGACUUGAAUAUGGUUGAGGUAUGCGGAAUGAGACAAGUAGCGGUGAAAUGCAUAGAUAUGUCUCAGAACACCGAUUGCGAAGGCAGCAUCCCCAAGCCAUCAUUGACGCUGAUGCACGAAAG